GAUGAACGCUGGCGGCAUGCCUAAUACAUGCAAGUCGAACGAGAGGAAGGAAAGCUUGCUUUUCUGAAUCUAGUGGCGAACGGGUGAGUAACACGUAGGUAACCUGCCCAUGUGCCCGGGAUAACUUCUGGAAACGGAUGCUAAAACCGGAUAGGUAGCAGACAAGCAUUUGACUGCUAUUAAAGUGGCUAAGGCCAUGAACAUGGAUGGACCUGCGGUGCAUUAGCUAGUUGGUGAGGUAACGGCCCACCAAGGCGACGAUGCAUAGCCGGCCUGAGAGGGCGUACGGCCACAUUGGGACUGAGACACGGCCCAAACUCCUACGGGAGGCAGCAGUAGGGAAUUUUCGUCAAUGGGGGGAACCCUGAAUGAGCAAUGCCGCGUGAGUGAGGAAGGUCUUCGGAUCGUAAAGCUCUGUUGUAAGAGGAAAACGACAUUCAUAGGGAAUGAUGAGUGAGUGAUGGUAUCUUACCAGAAAGUCACGGCUAACUACGUGCCAGCCGCCGCGGUAA
rnacentral:rRNA from 1 species